CUUCCUUCUUUUUUUUCUUUUACUUUCUUUCUUUUUCUUCUUUCUCUUUCCCUUGGUCUUUUUCAUUUUUCUUUUCUUUUUUAAGUUUCCAAAUAUGGCGGGUCUAUUGAGGGGAAAUUAAGCUACGUGGCUUGAGAUUUUUUAUUUAUUUGUGUAUUUAUUUUUAAUAAGACAUUCUUUUUACGGGGCCUUUCUGAGGAAAGCAUGGAGAGAAAAUGAGAACUUAAGUCAAUGCCUCCAGGAAGAAGGAACUACUGUCAUCGAGAAUGAAAAAAGGAAAUGAAAGGUAAUACAGGUCAACUGGAGGGGCCCUGCUAUAAUGCUAUGCCAACAUCAGCAAUAAAUCUGACAGUCACCCCUACCUGAAGCAUCAGGUUAUUCUCAAUGGUGCUGCUAUUUCACUGAUUUGAAGGUUCAGAAGAAAAAGUCUGCAUCCAGGGGCCGGCCCGGUGGUGCAGCGAAGUUUGCACGUUCUGCUUCAGCGGCCCGAGGAUUGCCAGUUCGGAUCCCGGUUGUGGACGUGGCACCACUUGGCAAGCCAUGCUGUGUCUUUUAUUUCCAGAAACUGUGUGAAUCCAAGCUGGAUAUGGGCUUCUGAGGAGUGCAUCAGCUUCUUAAUCCCCACCUGACGCCAUCCUUUGCUGUUUGAAAAAAUAUUAUCCACGCCAGCAGCCAAUUUUGGGAGCUAUGUGUAAAGAAUUUUUUAUUUCAAGAGGGAGCUAUUUUAUCACAUGCAAAAACACCAAAAUCCUGCCUAGC
rnacentral:lncRNA from 1 species